rnacentral:rRNA from 1 species
AUCCUGCCAGUAGUCAUAUGCUUGUCUCAAAGAUUAAGCCAUGCAAGUCUAAGUAUAAGCACUUAUACUGUGAAACUGCGGAAAGCUCAUUAUAUCAGUUAUAGUUUAUUUGAUGGUACCCUUACUACAUGGAUAACCGUAGUAAUUCUAGAGCUAAUACAUGCCCGGUAACACUGAUCCUUCGGGAGCGGGUGACGGAGGAUUAGGGUCUGAUUCCGGAGAGGGAGCCUGAGAAAUGGCUACCACUUCCAAGGAAGGCAGCAGGCGCGUAAAUUACCCAAUCCCGACACGGGGAGGUAGUGACAAGAAAUAACAAUACCGGAUAUCUACAAUGUCUGGUAAUUGGAAUGAGUACAAUCCAAAACCCUUAACAAGAACCAAUUGGAGGGCAAGUCUGGUGCCAGCAGCCGCGGUAAUACCAGCUCCAAUAGCGUAUAUUAAAGUUGUUGCAGUUAAAAGGCUCGUAGUCGAACUUGUGGUCUCGCAAACCUGGCCCGUACUCUUGUGGUACGUUGUGACGGGUUUGCAGACCAUCCUUGAGAGGAGCAUUUCUGGCCUUCACUGGUUGGAUUUGCGAGUCUCAUCAUUUACUGUGAGAAAAACAAAGUGUUCAAAGCAGGCUUCAUUGCUUGUAUGCAUUAGCAUGGAAUAAUAAGAUAGGACUUCGGUUCUAUUUUGUUGGCUUUCAGAACCAAAGUAAUGAUUAAUAGGGGUAGUUGGGGGUGCUAGUAUUUAACGGUCAGCGGUGAAAUGCAUGGACCCGUUAAAGACUAACUAAUGCGAAAGCAUUCACCAAGGAUACCUUCUUUGAUCAAGAACGAAAGUUGGGGGAUCGAAGACGAUCAGAUACCGUCGUAGUCUCAACCAUAAACUAUGCCAACUAGGGAUUGGCGGUAGUUGAUCAUUGACCCCGUCAGAACCUUAUGAGAAAUCAAAGUCUCUGGGUUCUGGGGGGAGUAUGGUCGCAAGGCUGAAACUUAAAGGAAUUGACGGAAGGGCACCACCAGGAGUGGAGCCUGCG